GACGAACGCUGGCGGCGUGCUUAACACAUGCAAGUCGAACGGAAAGGCCCUGCUUUUGUGGGGUGCUCGAGUGGCGAACGGGUGAGUAACACGUGAGUAACCUGCCCUUGACUUUGGGAUAACUUCAGGAAACUGGGGCUAAUACCGGAUAGGAGCUCCUGCUGCAUGGUGGGGGUUGGAAAGUUUCGGCGGUUGGGGAUGGACUCGCGGCUUAUCAGCUUGUUGGUGGGGUAGUGGCUUACCAAGGCUUUGACGGGUAGCCGGCCUGAGAGGGUGACCGGGCACAUGGGGACUGAGAUACGGACCAGACUCCUACGGGAGGCAGCAGUGGGGAAUAUUACACAAUGGGCGGAAGCCUGAUGCAGCAACGCCGCGUGCGGGAUGACGGCCUUCGGGUUGUAAACCGCUUUCGCCUGUGACGAAGCGUGAGUGACGGUAAUGGGUAAAGAAGCACCGGCUAACUACGUG
rnacentral:rRNA from 1 species